rnacentral:piRNA from 1 species
UGACCAGGUCAGGUCCCUUGGACAGAUUGC